CGCGGGAUGGAGCAGUGGUAGCUCGUCGGGCUCAUAACCCGAAGGUCGCAGGUUCGAGUCCUGCUCCCGCUA
rnacentral:tRNA from 1 species